rnacentral:rRNA from 1 species
GACGAACGCUGGCGGCGUGCUUAACACAUGCAAGUCGAGCGGUAAGGCCCUUUCGGGGGUACACGAGCGGCGAACGGGUGAGUAACACGUGGGUGACCUGCCCUCAGCUCUGGGAUAAGCCUGGGAAACUGGGUCUAAUACCGGAUAUGACUCCAUGACGCAUGUUGUGGGGUGGAAAGCCUUGUGCGGCUGAGGAUGGGCCCGCGGCCUAUCAGCUUGUUGGUGGGGUGAUGGCCUACCAAGGCGACGACGGGUAGCCGGCCUGAGAGGGCGACCGGCCACACUGGGACUGAGACACGGCCCAGACUCCUACGGGAGGCAGCAGUGGGGAAUCUUGCGCAAUGGGCGAAAGCCUGACGCAGCGACGCCGCGUGAGGGAUGACGGCCUGGUG